GAGUUUGAUCCUGGCUCAGGACGAACGCUGGCGGCGUGCCUAAUACAUGCAAGUCGAGCGAGCUUGCCUAGAUGAUUUUAGUGCUUGCACUAAAUGAAACUAGAUACAAGCGAGCGGCGGACGGGUGAGUAACACGUGGGUAACCUGCCCAAGAGACUGGGAUAACACCUGGAAACAGAUGCUAAUACCGGAUAACAACACUAGACGCAUGUCUAGAGUUUGAAAGAUGGUUCUGCUAUCACUCUUGGAUGGACCUGCGGUGCAUUAGCUAGUUGGUAAGGUAACGGCUUACCAAGGCAAUGAUGCAUAGCCGAGUUGAGAGACUGAUCGGCCACAUUGGGACUGAGACACGGCCCAAACUCCUACGGGAGGCAGCAGUAGGGAAUCUUCCACAAUGGACGAAAGUCUGAUGGAGCAACGCCGCGUGAGUGAAGAAGGGUUUCGGCUCGUAAAGCUCUGUUGGUAGUGAAGAAAGAUAGAGGUAGUAACUGGCCUUUAUUU
rnacentral:rRNA from 1 species